UACGUAGGGUGCAAGCGUUGUCCGGAAUUAUUGGGCGUAAAGAGCUCGUAGGCGGUUUGUCGCGUCUGCUGUGAAAACUCGGGGCUCAACUCCGAGCUUGCAGUGGGUACGGGCAGACUAGAGUGCGGUAGGGGAGACUGGAAUUCCUGGUGUAGCGGUGAAAUGCGCAGAUAUCAGGAGGAACACCGAUGGCGAAGGCAGGUCUCUGGGCCACUACUGACGCUGAGAAGCGAAAGCAUGGGGAGCGAACAGG
rnacentral:rRNA from 1 species